rnacentral:misc_RNA from 1 species
UCCAGGGAUCACCGUGUCUACGGGUACAGUCUUCAAUGAACACCGGUAGUACACAGACUAAAUUUGUCCCACAUUAGCGUCCCCUUCACCUGGUCUGUAAGCGCCAGCAUACCUUACCUAUCCAUACCUGCAGGUUGCUGUAUACACAAGCAUCAUGGGGAAGAUGGACAAAUGUAGGGCGUGCUAUAACUGUCGGACAUUGUGGAUGGCUGUGUUAGUGCCAGUGGCCCUGCUUCCACUGCCGAUUAUCAACCCUAGUGAGGUAUCCCGAUGUGGCUACUGUCUGUUGGUGAUGGCUUUCUUUUGGGUCACAGAGAUAAUCCCUCUGGCCGUCACCUCUCUUCUACCAAUAUUUCUCUUUCCACUGUUUGGCAUCAUGUCCGCUAAAGAUACUUGCAUGAGCUAUGCCAAGGAUACGCUCAUGUUGUUCAUGGGGAGUCUCAUCGUCGCAGUUGCUGUAGAACGCUGGAAACUGCAUAAACGUAUUGCACUGAGGACGUUAUCGCUCGUUGGUCCUCAACCUAAAUGGUUGCUGUUUGGGAUCAUGCUGCCAUGCUGGUUUCUGUCAAUGUGGAUGAGCAACACAGCCACGGCCGCUAUGAUGAUGCCGAUAGUUAAUGCCAUUCUGGAGCAAAUCAAACACACCCGACAUCAGCAUGAAACAGAUGGAACAGAGGAAACAUCCAUCGUCAUGCAAAGCCGAGAUCCUACACACGUAAAGGUGGAGCUGGAUGCCAGCUUCAAAUCCUCAGAAGUCAGAUCAACCCUGGCCAUUGAAGAAGAAAGCCGAUUGUCAGUGAAUGAAAAGAGACAAUCAAUCGAUAAAGAAUUCACCUGUCUUGCAAAGUCUUUUAGUCUUUGCGUUGCUUUCGCGGCUAACGUGGGAGGUAUGGCGACAUUGACCGGGACACCACCUAAUAUCAUCUUCAAAGGGCAAGCCGAUCUGGCUUUUUCUAAAGCUGGUGGAUCGGAAGUGAACUUUGCCAACUGGCUGGUCGUAGGACUGCCAAUAUCAGCUGUUUUGUUCGUGUUUGUUUGGGGAUGGCUUUACAUGUACACUGUGAGAACAAAGAUUCUCAAAUGCUGCCAGAAAGACCAGGAUUCCUACGACUCGGUUAGAAACGUUAUCAGGAAAGAAGCUGAUAAACUCGGUGCAAUGACAUUCCCAGAGGUGAUUGUGUUGGUUAACUUUAUCAUUUUGGCUUUGCUGUGGGUUACACGGAAACCUGGUUUUAUCCCUGGCUGGGGAGACUUGCUGAAGAAAGGAUAUUCAGGUGAUUCUGUUCCCGCAGUUAUGAUAGCUACCUUACUCUUUAUACUGCCAGCAAAGAUCCCGGGCGAUCGGUCAGUUCAAGCACAAGGCUAUCAGCCUAUUCUGACAUGGAAAGCUGUGAACGAAAAGAUGGCAUGGGGUGUGUUACUGCUGAUGGGAGGAGGCUUUGCUCUAGCGGAUGCCUGUCAGCGAUCAGGACUGUCUCGGUGGAUUAGUGGUCAUCUCUUAGAGAUGUCUUCACUCGAACCAUGGAUCAUCGCUAUGGUCUUAUCAAUCAUCAUUUCACUGGCAACACAGGUGACCAGCAAUGCAGCAACAGCCACACUCUUCCUACCAAUAGUUGGGGAACUGAGCCUGGCAUCUAAACAGAUAAUGGAAUUCGUCUGCAACUGAAGGAGAGUUGCACAGUUCACAUACACGAUCCUCUUUCUUUACAUUAUUCCAACGACCGGUUUCAAUAGGCAACUACAAUGGGCCUUAACCCCCUGUAUUUCAUGAUACCCUGCACGUUGUCUACGUCCCUUGCUUUCCUGUUGCCAGUGGCAACACCACCAAACGCUAUUGUGUUUGCAUCUGGA